rnacentral:rRNA from 1 species
GUGAAGCGGUAAAAGCUCAAAUUUGAAAUCUGGUACUUUCAGUGCCCGAGUUGUAAUUUGUAGAAUUUGUCUUUGAUUAGGUCCUUGUCUAUGUUCCUUGGAACAGGACGUCAUAGAGGGUGAGAAUCCCGUUUGGCGAGGAUACCUUUUCUCUGUAAGACUUUUUCGAAGAGUCGAGUUGUUUGGGAAUGCAGCUCAAAGUGGGUGGUAAAUUCCAUCUAAAGCUAAAUAUUGGCGAGAGACCGAUAGCGAACAAGUACAGUGAUGGAAAGAUGAAAAGAACUUUGAAAAGAGAGUGAAAAAGUACGUGAAAUUGUUGAAAGGGAAGGGCAUUUGAUCAGACAUGGUGUUUUUUGCAUGCACUCGCCUCUCGUGGGCUUGGGCCUCUCAAAAAUUUCACUGGGCCAACAUCAAUUCUGGCAGCAGGAUAAAUCAUUAAGAAUGUAGCUACUUCGGUAGUGUUAUAGCUUUUUGGAAUACUGUUAGCCGGGAUUGAGGACUGCGCUUCGGCAAGGAUGUUGGCAUAAUGGUUAAAUGCCGCCCGUCUUGAAACACGGACCAAUUUU